rnacentral:misc_RNA from 1 species
UUCACGUUUAUUUUUUGGACUCAGUAUAAAAACAAAAUAUAGAAGGAGUAUUCCGUGUACUAGCGUACACGAAGCAACUGUAAAUUCACAGGGUUGUAAGAGUAAACUCUAUAAUGAUCCCUCCGCUGGUUCACCUACGGAAA